rnacentral:rRNA from 1 species
UACGUAGGGGGCUAGCGUUGUCCGGAAUCAUUGGGCGUAAAGAGCGCGUAGGCGGCUAGAUAAGUCCGGUGUGAAAGUCACAGGCUCAACCUGUGAAUGCCGCUGGAAACUGUCUGGCUAGAGUCCGGAAGGGGCGAGUGGAAUUCCUGGUGUAGCGGUGAAAUGCGCAGAUAUCAGGAGGAACACCAAUUGCGAAGGCAGCUCGCUGGGACGUUACUGACGCUGAGACGCGAAAGCGUGGGGAGCAAACAGG